UUACCUACCCUUGACAUGCCUGGAAUCCUGCAGAGAUGCGGGAGUGCUCGAAAGAGAGCCGGGACACAGGUGCUGCAUGGCCGUCGUCAGCUCGUGUCGUGAGAUGUUGGGUUAAGUCCCGCAACGAGCGCAACCCUUGCCAUUAGUUGCUACGAAAGGGCACUCUAAUGGGACUGCCGGUGACAAACCGGAGGAAGGUGGGGAUGACGUCAGGUCAUCAUGGCCCUUAUGGGUAGGGCUACACACGUCAUACAAUGGCCGGUACAGAGGGCUGCCAACCCGCGAGGGGGAGCCAAUCCCAGAAAACCGGUCGUAGUCCGGAUCGCAGUCUGCAACUCGACUGCGUGAAGUCGGAAUCGCUAGUAAUCGCGGAUCAGCUUGCCGCGGUGAAUAUGUUCCCGGGUCUUGUACACACCGCCCGUCACACCAUGGGAGCGGGUUCUGCCAGAAGUAGUUAGCCUAACCGCAAGGGGGGCGAUUACCACGGCAGGGUUCGUGACUGGGGUGAAGUCGUAACAAGGUAGCC
rnacentral:rRNA from 1 species